AUUGAACGCUGGCGGCAGGCCUAACACAUGCAAGUCGAGCGGAUGAAGAGAGCUUGCUCUCUGAUUCAGCGGCGGACGGGUGAGUAAUGCCUAGGAAUCUGCCUGGUAGUGGGGGACAACAGUUGGAAACGACUGCUAAUACCGCAUACGUCCUACGGGAGAAAGCAGGGGACCUUCGGGCCUUGCGCUAUCAGAUGAGCCUAGGUCGGAUUAGCUAGUAGGUGAGGUAAUGGCUCACCUAGGCGACGAUCCGUAACUGGUCUGAGAGGAUGAUCAGUCACACUGGAACUGAGACACGGUCCAGACUCCUACGGGAGGCAGCAGUGGGGAAUAUUGGACAAUGGGCGAAAGCCUGAUCCAGCCAUGCCGCGUGUGUGAAGAAGGUCUUCGGAUUGUAAAGCACUUUAAGUUGGGAGGAAGGGCAGUAAGUUAAUACCUUGCUGUUUUGACGUUACCGACAGAAUAAGCACCGGCUAACUUCGUGCCAGCAGCCGCGGUAAGAC
rnacentral:rRNA from 1 species